AUACAUAGGGAGCAAGCGUUGUCCGGAUUUACUGGGUGUAAAGGGUGCGUAGGCGGCAAGGCAAGUCAGAUGUGAAAUGUAAGGGCUCAACCCUUAAGCUGCAUUUGAAACUGUUUUGCUUGAGUGAAGUAGAGGCAGGCGGAAUUCCCGGUGUAGCGGUGAAAUGCGUAGAGAUCGGGAGGAACACCAGUGGCGAAGGCGGCCUGCUGGGCUUUAACUGACGCUGAGGCACGAAAGCGUGGGUAGC
rnacentral:rRNA from 1 species